UUAAGUUCAGCGGGUAUCCCUACCUGAUCCGAGGUCAAAGUAAAAAGAGGGCUUGAUGGAAGGGGGUCUGCCAGAAUCGAGACGCAAUGUGCUGCGCACGAAGCCAACAUACCGGCUGCCAAUGAAUUUAAGGCGAGUCCACGCACGGAGGCGGAACAAACACCCAACACCAAGCAGAGCUUGAAGGUUUAAAUGACGCU
rnacentral:misc_RNA from 1 species